AGAUUGAACGCUGGCGGCAUGCCUUACACAUGCAAGUCGAACGGCAGCACGGGGGCAACCCUGGUGGCGAGUGGCGAACGGGUGAGUAAUGCAUCGGAACGUGCCCAGUAGUGGGGGAUAACUAGUCGAAAGAUUAGCUAAUACCGCAUACGACCUAUGGGUGAAAGCGGGGGAUUCGCAAGAACCUCGCGCUAUCGGAGCGGCCGAUGUCUGAUUAGCUAGUUGGCGGGUAAAAGCCCACCAAGGCUUCGAUCAGUAGCUGGUCUGAGAGGACGACCAGCCACACUGGGACUGAGACACGGCCCAGACUCCUACGGGAGGCAGCAGUGGGGAAUUUUGGACAAUGGGCGCAAGCCUGAUCCAGCCAUGCCGCGUGCGGGAAGAAGGCCUUCGGUUGUAAACCGCUUUUGGCAGGAACGAAACGGCGCGAGCGAAUAUCUCGCGUUAAUGACGGUACCUGCAGAAUAAGCACCGGCUAACUACGUGCCAGCAGACCG
rnacentral:rRNA from 1 species